UUUUUUGAAAAGUUGACCUUGCUGGGGAAGUAUCAACUAUGGAAACUUUGUUUGGCGAGACUCUGCGAGGAGAGUCUGUGAGGAAAGCACUUCCGGGAGAAAUGUCGUAGGAAUCGACCUUUAUUGGGGAUAUGAACUUGCUAAUCAUCCUCAGGCUGGGGAUUAAAACAAAUAUGUUAAAAAAAAAUCUGCUGGGGACGAGAUGAACACUGG
rnacentral:lncRNA from 1 species